GGGUUGUGAGGUUAAGCGACUAAGCGUACACGGUGGAUGCCCUGGCAGUCAGAGGCGAUGAAGGACGUGCUAAUCUGCGAAAAGCGUCGGUAAGGUGAUAUGAACCGUUAUAACCGGCGAUGUCCGAAUGGGGAAACCCAGUGUGAUUCGUCACACUAUCGUUAACUGAAUACAUAGGUUAACGAGGCGAACCGGGGGAACUGAAACAUCUAAGUACCCCGAGGAAAAGAAAUCAACCGAGAUUCCCCCAGUAGCGGCGAGCGAACGGGGAGCAGCCCAGAGUCUGAAUCAGCUUGUGUGUUAGUGGAACGGUCUGGAAAGUCCGACGGUACAGGGUGAUAGUCCCGUACACCAAAAUGCACAGGCUGUGAACUCGAAGAGUAGGGCGGGACACGUGGUAUCCUGUCUGAAUAUGGGGGGACCAUCCUCCAAGGCUAAAUACUCCUGACUGACCGAUAGUGAACCAGUACCGUGAGGGAAAGGCGAAAAGAACCCCGGCGAGGGGAGUGAAAAAGAACCUGAAACCGUGUACGUACAAGCAGUGGGAGCACCUUCGGGUGUGACUGCGUACCUUUUGUAUAAUGGGUCAGCGACUUAUAUUCUGUAGCAAGGUUAACCGUAUAGGGGAGCCGCAGGGAAACCGAGUCUUAACUGGGCGUUAAGUUGCAGGGUAUAGACCCGAAACCCGGUGAUCUAGCCAUGGGCAGGUUGAAGGUUGGGUAACACUAACUGGAGGACCGAACCGACUAAUGUUGAAAAAUUAGCGGAUGACUUGUGGCUGGGGGUGAAAGGCCAAUCAAACCGGGAGAUAGCUGGUUCUCCCCGAAAGCUAUUUAGGUAGCGCCUCGUGAACUCAUCUUCGGGGGUAGAGCACUGUUUCGGCUAGGGGGUCAUCCCGACUUACCAACCCGAUGCAAACUACGAAUACCGAAGAAUGUUAUCACGGGAGACACACGGCGGGUGCUAACGUCCGUCGUGAAGAGGGAAACAACCCAGACCGCCAGCUAAGGUCCCAAAGUCACAGUUAAGUGGGAAACGAUGUGGGAAGGCACAGACAGCCAGGAUGUUGGCUUAGAAGCAGCCAUCAUUUAAAGAAAGCGUAAUAGCUCACUGGUCGAGUCGGCCUGCGCGGAAGAUGUAACGGGGCUAAACUGUGCACCGAAGCUGCGGCAGCGACACUAUGUGUUGUUGGGUAGGGGAGCGUUCUGUAAGCCUGCGAAGGUGGCCUGUGAGGGUUGCUGGAGGUAUCAGAAGUGCGAAUGCUGACAUAAGUAACGAUAAUGCGGGUGAAAAGCCCGCACGCCGGAAGACCAAGGGUUCCUGUCCAACGUUAAUCGGGGCAGGGUGAGUCGACCCCUAAGGCGAGGCCGAAAGGCGUAGUCGAUGGGAAACAGGUUAAUAUUCCUGUACUUGGUGUUACUGCGAAGGGGGGACGGAGAAGGCUAUGUUAGCCGGGCGACGGUUGUCCCGGUUUAAGCAUGUAGGCGGAGGUUCCAGGUAAAUCCGGUACCUUUUUAACGCUGAGGUGUGAUGACGAGGCACUACGGUGCUGAAGUAACAAAUGCCCUGCUUCCAGGAAAAGCCUCUAAGCAUCAGGUAACAUUGAAUCGUACCCCAAACCGACACAGGUGGUCAGGUAGAGAAUACCAAGGCGCUUGAGAGAACUCGGGUGAAGGAACUAGGCAAAAUGGUGCCGUAACUUCGGGAGAAGGCACGCUGAUAUGUAGGUGAAGCCCCUGCGGGUGGAGCUGAAAUCAGUCGAAGAUACCAGCUGGCUGCAACUGUUUAUUAAAAACACAGCACUGUGCAAACACGAAAGUGGACGUAUACGGUGUGACGCCUGCCCGGUGCCGGAAGGUUAAUUGAUGGGGUUAUCCGUAAGGAGAAGCUCUUGAUCGAAGCCCCGGUAAACGGCGGCCGUAACUAUAACGGUCCUAAGGUAGCGAAAUUCCUUGUCGGGUAAGUUCCGACCUGCACGAAUGGCGUAAUGAUGGCCAGGCUGUCUCCACCCGAGACUCAGUGAAAUUGAACUCGCUGUGAAGAUGCAGUGUACCCGCGGCAAGACGGAAAGACCCCGUGAACCUUUACUAUAGCUUGACACUGAACAUUGAGCCUUGAUGUGUAGGAUAGGUGGGAGGCUUUGAAGCGUGGACGCCAGUCUGCGUGGAGCCAACCUUGAAAUACCACCCUUUAAUGUUUGAUGUUCUAACGUUGGCCCCUGAUCGGGGUUGCGGACAGUGUCUGGUGGGUAGUUUGACUGGGGCGGUCUCCUCCCAAAGAGUAACGGAGGAGCACGAAGGUUAGCUAAUCCUGGUCGGACAUCAGGAGGUUAGUGCAAUGGCAUAAGCUAGCUUGACUGCGAGCGUGACGGCGCGAGCAGGUGCGAAAGCAGGUCAUAGUGAUCCGGUGGUUCUGAAUGGAAGGGCCAUCGCUCAACGGAUAAAAGGUACUCCGGGGAUAACAGGCUGAUACCGCCCAAGAGUUCAUAUCGACGGCGGUGUUUGGCACCUCGAUGUCGGCUCAUCACAUCCUGGGGCUGAAGUAGGUCCCAAGGGUAUGGCUGUUCGCCAUUUAAAGUGGUACGCGAGCUGGGUUUAGAACGUCGUGAGACAGUUCGGUCCCUAUCUGCCGUGGGCGCUGGAGAAUUGAGGGGGGCUGCUCCUAGUACGAGAGGACCGGAGUGGACGCAUCACUGGUGUUCGGGUUGUCAUGCCAAUGGCAUUGCCCGGUAGCUAAAUGCGGAAGAGAUAAGUGCUGAAAGCAUCUAAGCACGAAACUUGCCCCGAGAUGAGUUCUCCCUGAGACUUUAAGUCUCCUGAAGGAACGUUAAAGACGAUGACGUUGAUAGGUCGGGUGUGUAAGCGUAGCGAUACGUUGAGCUAACCGAUACUAAUGAACCGUGAGGCUUAACCUUACAACGCCGAAGCUGUU
rnacentral:rRNA from 1 species